AAGAAGGUAAAACACUCAAAUCUGAACACCAAAGUACUAUUGAUCUAAGACCUCCCUCCAGUUCUACUCGGAGGAUUAAGGAAGAGUGGUCUGGGCUUUUGGAUAGUUUGAUUCUGUCAAGAAAUGUGCAAGAACGCGAGGCAAUGGCGAAGAACAUGCGGCGGUCAAAGAGAGGAGAGAUACAUCUGGCAACUGGAAGGACAUGUGUCAAGCAUGCAGUGGAGAAACAUGUGCAACGCCGAAAUCAACUCGAAUUGAAAACUAACUCGCAUGUCGUGAAGUGACCUGAUAACUCGCGGUCCAAAUCGAUAAGUACCACAUAGAAUUAGGGAGAAUACUUGUAGGGUGAGUUUCAUAUUUCAUGCUUGCUAGAGAAAAUUACUCCUAGGUGGUUAGAUCCGAAAUAUCUUGUACCCACUAAGUUAAUUGUACAUGUGAUGGACUUCCUACUUGGAUGGAAUUUCAAGUUGAAAUUUCUA